AUUGAACGCUGGCGGCAUGCCUUACACAUGCAAGUCGAACGGCAGCACGGGAGCAAUCCUGGUGGCGAGUGGCGAACGGGUGAGUAAUAUAUCGGAACGUACCCAGUCGUGGGGGAUAACGUAGCGAAAGCUACGCUAAUACCGCAUACGAUCUAUGGAUGAAAGCGGGGGAUCGCAAGACCUCGCGCGAUUGGAGCGGCCGAUAUCAGAUUAGGUAGUUGGUGAGGUAAAGGCUCACCAAGCCGACGAUCUGUAGCUGGUCUGAGAGGACGACCAGCCACACUGGGACUGAGACACGGCCCAGACUCCUACGGGAGGCAGCAGUGGGGAAUAUUGGACAAUGGGCGAAAGCCUGAUCCAGCAAUGCCGCGUGAGUGAUGAAGGCCUU
rnacentral:rRNA from 1 species